rnacentral:rRNA from 1 species
CUACGGGAUGCACCAGUGGGGAAUAUUGCACAAUGGAGGAAACUCUGAUGCAGCAACGCCGCGUGGAGGAUGACACUUUUCGGAGCGUAAACUCCUUUUAUAUAGGAAGAAGAUGACGGUACUAUAUGAAUAAGCGCCGGCUAACUCCGUGCCAGCAGCCGCGGUAAUACGGAGGGCGCAAGCGUUACUCGGAAUCACUGGGCGUAAAGAGCGUGUAGGCGGAUUAAAAAGUCAGAAGUGAAAUCCUAUAGCUUAACUAUAGAACUGCUUCUGAAACUCUUAAUCUAGAAUAUGGGAGAGGUAGAUGGAACUUUUGGUGUAGGGGUAAAAUCCGUAGAGAUCAGAAGGAAUACCGAUUGCGAAGGCGAUCUACUAGAACAUUAUUGACGCUGAGACGCGAAAGCGUGGGGAGCAAACAGGAUUAGAUACCCCGGUAGUC